UACGAAGGGGGCUAGCGUUGCUCGGAAUUACUGGGCGUAAAGCGCACGUAGGCGGCUUCUUAAGUCGGUGGUGAAAUCCUGGAGCUCAACUCCAGAACUGCGUCCGAUACUGGAAGGCUUGAAUCCGGGAGAGGGAUGCGGAAUUCCAGGUGUAGCGGUGAAAUGCGUAGAUAUCUGGAGGAACACCGGUGGCGAAGGCGGCAUCCUGGACCGGUAUUGACGCUGAGGCGCGAAAGCCAGGGGAGCAAACGGG
rnacentral:rRNA from 1 species